CUCUUAUUAAGAGUGAGUGGAGGGACUUGGCCCUUAGAAGCUCCAGCAACAGCUAAAUAGCGAUGUGCUAAUUCCAACAGUUUUAAACAACUGAAAGAUGAGAA
rnacentral:ncRNA from 2 species